AGGUAAGCUACUAAGAGCGAAUGGUGGAUGCCUUGACUGGUAAAGGCGAUGAAGGACGUACUAGACUGCGAUAAGCUACGGGGAGCUGUCAAGAAGCUUUGAUCCGUAGAUUUCCGAAUGGGGCAACCCAAUGUAUAGAGAUAUACAUUACCUAUAUAGGAGCGAACGAGGGGAAUUGAAACAUCUUAGUACCCUCAGGAAAAGAAAUCAAUAGAGAUUGCGUCAGUAGCGGCGAGCGAAAGCGCAAGAGGGCAAACCCAGUGCUUGCACUGGGGGUUGUAGGACUGCAAUGUGCAAGAGGUAAGUUUAGCAGAACAUUCUGGAAAGUAUAACCAUAGAGGGUGAUAGUCCCGUAUGCGAAAAACAAACCUUAGCUAGCAGUAUCCUGAGUAGGGCGGGACACGAGGAAUCCUGUCUGAAUCCGGGUCGACCACGAUCCAACCCUAAAUACUAAUACCAGAUCGAUAGUGCACAAGUACCGUGAGGGAAAGGUGAAAAGAACUGAGGUGAUCAGAGUGAAAUAGAACCUGAAACCAUUUGCUUACAAUCAUUCAGAGCCCUAUGUAGCAAUACAGGGUGAUGGACUGCCUUUUGCAUAAUGAGCCUGCGAGUUGUGGUGUCUGGCAAGGUUAAGCAAACGCGAAGCCGUAGCGAAAGCGAGUCUGAAUAGGGCGCUUAGUCAGAUGCUGCAGACCCGAAACGAAGUGAUCUAUCCAUGAGCAAGUUGAAGCUAGUGUAAGAACUAGUGGAGGACUGAACCCAUAGGCGUUGAAAAGCCCCGGGAUGACUUGUGGAUAGGGGUGAAAGGCCAAUCAAACUUCGUGAUAGCUGGUUCUCUCCGAAAUAUAUUUAGGUAUAGCGUUGUGUCGUAAUAUAAGGGGGUAGAGCACUGAAUGGGCUAGGGCAUACACCAAUGUACCAAACCCUAUCAAACUCCGAAUACCUUAUAUGUAAUCACAGCAGUCAGGCGGCGAGUGAUAAAAUCCGUCGUCAAGAGGGAAACAACCCAGACUACCAGCUAAGGUCCCUAAAUCUUACUUAAGUGGAAAACGAUGUGAAGUUACUUAAACAACCAGGAGGUUGGCUUAGAAGCAGCCAUCCUUUAAAGAAAGCGUAAUAGCUCACUGGUCUAGUGAUUUUGCGCGGAAAAUAUAACGGGGCUAAAGUAAGUACCGAAGCUGUAGACUUAGUUUACUAAGUGGUAGGAGAGCGUUCUAUUUGCGUCGAAGGUAUACCGGUAAGGAGUGCUGGAGCGAAUAGAAGUGAGCAUGCAGGCAUGAGUAGCGAUAAUUAAUGUGAGAAUCAUUAACGCCGUAAACCCAAGGUUUCCUACGCGAUGCUCGUCAUCGUAGGGUUAGUCGGGUCCUAAGUCGAGUCCGAAAGGGGUAGACGAUGGCAAAUUGGUUAAUAUUCCAAUACCAACAUUAGUGUGCGAUGGAAGGACGCUUAGGGCUAAGGGGGCUAGCGGAUGGAAGUGCUAGUCUAAGGUCGUAGGAGGUUAUACAGGCAAAUCCGUAUAACAAUACUCCGAGAACUGAAAGGCUUUUUGAAGUCUUCGGAUGGAUAGAAGAACCCCUGAUGCCGUCGAGCCAAGAAAAGUUUCUAAGUUUAGCUAAUGUUGCCCGUACCGUAAACCGACACAGGUGGGUGGGAUGAGUAUUCUAAGGCGCGUGGAAGAACUCUCUUUAAGGAACUCUGCAAAAUAGCACCGUAUCUUCGGUAUAAGGUGUGGUUAGCUUUGUAUUAGGAUUUACUCCGAAAGCAAGGAAACUUACAACAAAGAGUCCCUCCCGACUGUUUACCAAAAACACAGCACUCUGCUAACUCGUAAGAGGAUGUAUAGGGUGUGACGCCUGCCCGGUGCUCGAAGGUUAAUUGAUGGGGUUAGCAUUAGCGAAGCUCUUGAUCGAAGCCCGAGUAAACGGCGGCCGUAACUAUAACGGUCCUAAGGUAGCGAAAUUCCUUGUCGGUUAAAUACCGACCUGCAUGAAUGGCGUAACGAGAUGGGAGCUGUCUCAAAGAGGGAUCCAGUGAAAUUGUAGUGGAGGUGAAAAUUCCUCCUACCCGCGGCAAGACGGAAAGACCCCGUGGACCUUUACUACAGCUUGACACUGCUACUUGGAUAAGAAUGUGCAGGAUAGGUGGGAGGCUUUGAGUAUAUGACGCCAGUUGUAUAUGAGCCAUUGUUGA
rnacentral:rRNA from 1 species